AUGGCCGCCGCCGCCGCAUCACCUUCUCUUCCGCCUCGCACUCAGCACCUCUCGGCCUCCCCUCCCUCGCAGCUUCUUGCCGUCCCAAUCAAGACUCGCCAAACCCCUCGAGCACGGUCGGAUGCGAUGGUCAGGUCGCCGGCGGCCCCAACCCCAACCCCCAGGUCGCCGGCGGCCCCAAACCCGAACUCCAGCUUGCCGGCGGCCCCAAACCCGACCCCCAGGUCGCAGGCUGCCCCAACCCCGACUCCCAGCUCGCCUGCUGCAGAUCUUGAGGAGCACAAGGUUACUAAUGAGCUCUUGCGUGCCAUAAAAAUUGAGAAGGCUAAUGACCCAGAUCUUGAAGAGCACAAGGGUGCUGGUGAGCUCCUUACGGAACCACCAAAGUGCAAGAAAAGGAAGCGAAGUAGGCAGAGUAGCGGCAAGCUUCAUGGGGAACACCAAGAAACGAACAAAGUCGUCAUAAAGCCGUCGACGUCCAAGAAAAAGAGGAAGGCAAGUGAAGGAAUGUGCACUAAUGCACCAGCACCGUUGUUUGGACCUUUGGCCGUUGACAUGGAUAAGCAGCCACCACCAUUGAAGAAAAAAAGGCUUAAUAAGAGAGAUGUUGCAACUAUACCAUCAUCCGGAUCUUUGCCCAUUGACAAGGAUAGGCAGCCAUCACCUGGAUCUUUGCCUGUUGACAAGGAUAAGCAGCCAUCACCUGGACCUUUGGCCGUUGACAAGGAUAAGCAGCCAUCACCUGGAUCUUUGCCCCUUGACAAUAAUACACAGCCAUCAUCUGGAUCUUUGGCCGUUGACAAGAAUAAGCAUCCAUCACUAUCCAAAAAAGUGAUCGCCAAAAGGCGGAACCAACAGUUGGAGACCAUGGUGGUGAGCAAGACGAUGCUGGAACCACCUAAGGUACCACACCUAUUCAUACCAUGCCUGCCGUGCGCUUCAUGUACCUAA
rnacentral:rRNA from 1 species